UACAGAGGGGGCAAGCGUUGUUCGGAAUUACUGGGCGUAAAGGGCGCGUAGGCGGCCUGCUAAGUCGAACGUGAAAUCCCUGGGCUCAACCCAGGAACUGCGUCCGAUACUGGUUGGCUUGAAUCCGGGAGAGGGACGUGGAAUUCCAGGUGUAGCGGUGAAAUGCGUAGAUAUCGUGGAGGAACACCGGUGGCGAAGGCGACGUCCUGGACCGGCAUUGACGCUGAGGCGCGAAAGCCAGGGGAGCAAACGGG
rnacentral:rRNA from 1 species